GCAUACCAGAUUAAACUACGCGAAACGUAGAUUAAUAAAUUUGAUGUCUGGAAGCUUGAUUUUAAAAUUUUCCGUCCACUGAUUUGACGCACAUCCGUCGAUUAAUUCAACCGGUUUGCCUGUAGAUCCGAAAAAGUUAUUUCGACUGAUAUUCUAGGCACUAUGCGGUAUGGAAUGCAUGGUAUGUUAUGUAGAGAUGUG
rnacentral:lncRNA from 1 species